rnacentral:lncRNA from 1 species
AACAUUUUACUUAUCUCAACAAAAACAACAACACAAAACCUUCAAUCUCAAUAACAACAACAACAAUAAACCUUUUACUUAUCUCAACAAAAACAACAACAUAAAAUAUUUAAUCUCAAUCUUAACAACAACAACAACAACAUAAAACAUUUAAUUUCAAUAAUAAAAUUAACACUAAACCUUUUACUUAUUUAAAAAAACAAAC